ACCACUCUCUACAGCUUCCUGAAGGGAGGUUGCAAUGAGGAGGGGGUUGGCCUCUUCUCACAGUCCUGGAAAAGGCAGCCCAUGAGCUCCAGCCCACUGGACUCAUCCAGAAGCAACCUGAAGGAUCCUGGGGGGCUGAAGCCACCUGAACGAUCCCCCUGGUGCUGGCUGCAGCAGAUAGAAAGUCGCUGCAAAGAGGCAGGCCUACUUCCACCCGAUUUAUUAUUCAAGUGUAAAAGUUUAAUGCACCUAUUUGAACAAUUAAAGUAUGCUCUCGAGCGUAGUUGUCUUUUUGCUUCUGAAGAGACAAUGGCUCAUGAAUCACUAAGUGCUACGGCCGGCACCCCAGCACGGACUUAUUCAUGAGUUGCUUGUUUCUUUGUAUACACCCAGGAGGAAGAAAGAGCUUUAAUAAUAGACACCAUUAAAGAGGAUUUUAAGAAAAUUAGCAACCUCACACAAAACUCAUUGGGCUUCUGGGACAGAUUGCUCACAGCUGGAAGCCCGAUAUGUUUAAGGGUGGCUGAUCCUACUCUACUACAAUUUUUAUAAGAUUUUGGCAGUCCUGCCAUAAAAGUGUCUGUAGUACAAAGCAUGACUGGAAGAAGCAGGACCUUCCUUUGGGAAAGAACUGAGUUGGCUUUGCUGCAAUUUGCUCAGUAUUUUGGGGGGAUAUUCAUAUCAACAUGGUGCAACUGAUGAUAAUACUCCAAUUACAUUUAGUAUCCAAGCAGGAAAGAGGAAUUAAUUUCAGGGUUACCUUUGGUUAUUAAGGCUUUGGAGUGCUCAUGACCAAGUGUCUGUAACUCACAGGGCAGAAGAUUUAAAUUAUCAACCUGUGUAAGAUUUGCUUUCUUCUUUGGUUUUGAAGAAAAUGAUGCCAUCACUAAACUUUUCUUUCAUGGGCAUUAACAAUUUAUUUUGCAGUGUUAUUCUGCUGCUGUGCAAACCACGAUGGCAACUGCAUCCAGCAGCUUUACAGUUUCAGUUUUGAUGCAUUUGGGAAUGUAUUGGUUCAGAAGACUGCAUCUUGCCAAAUACUGGUAAUUGUAUUCCUUCUUCAGAAAAAUAUACUAAGUAAAGUGAAUGUUUCUGGUAGAGUUGCCCAAAAAAUCUUCCCACCUCUACCAAAAAAUGCUAUUUUGUCACAGCCAAUAUUUGCGUUAAUUCAAUCAUUCAUUGUAACAUCCACACAAGAUGAAGUCCAAUACAGAAGAAUACCAAGGUGGGGAAAAAAAAAUACCACAAUUUCAAAGCAACUUCUGCUUGAGGAGAAAGACUUGCAAGCCUUGAUGUUCAUGCAAUGUGCAUAGCAGGCUAGUUGCAGCUGCCAGGCCUGAUUUGUGGCAAUACUCCAGAACAAAUUGUUCGAUUUAUAAUUCCAUAAAGCUAUCCAGAGAAACGUAGAAGUCAAGCUGGGUUCUUUUUUCCCUUCUUGCAUGUUGCCAUCAGGAGGAAAGAUUCUUAGAGACAAAUUAGAUGUUAGAUACGUCUCUGUAAUCUUGGAGCCUUACAGAGGUUACAGGAUGGUAACUCAUACAAAAUAGUGAAGUGAAAAGACUGAGGAAAAAAAAAGCAUUAACAGUGAAAAGCUGCAAAACCUGCAGAACCCACGACCCCACAGCAUGGAAAGUUGAGGGUACUGAUAUGUCCUUCUAUGUAUGUACAACUUGCAUGUUUAAAUAUUAUUCUGACAUCAAGAACUGUAACACUGGCUUAAAAAAUUAUUUUUUUCAAAAAAAAAUAAUGAAAACUGUAUUUGUCAUCAUUACCUGACAGCACACAGUUU